rnacentral:rRNA from 1 species
UACGGAGGGUGCGAGCGUUGUCCGGAAUCACUGGGCGUAAAGGGCGCGUAGGCGGCGCGGGGAGUCAACGGUGAAAGCUCGGCGCUCAACGCCGAGUCGGCCGUCGAUACUCCCGUGCUCGAGCACUGUAGAGGCAGGUGGAAUUCCGGGUGUAGCGGUGGAAUGCGUAGAGAUCCGGAAGAACACCGGUGGCGAAGGCGGUCUGCUGGGCCAAGACUGACGCUGAGGCGCGACAGCGUGGGAGCAAACAGG